rnacentral:rRNA from 1 species
GAACCGUCCGAACGUUAUUCGGAAUCACUGGGCUUAAAGGGUGCGUAGGCGGUCCGGCAAGUUGGGUGUGAAAUCCCUCGGCUCAACCGAGGAAUUGCGCUCAAAACUGCCGGACUCGAGGGAGACAGAGGUGAGCGGAACUUAGGGUGGAGCGGUGAAAUGCGUUGAUAUCCCAAGGAACACCAGUGGCGAAGGCGGCUCACUGGGUCCCUUCUGACGCUCAUGCACGAAAGCUAGGGGAGCGAACGGGAUUAGAUACCCCGGGUAGUCCUAGCUGUAAACGAUGAGCACUGGGUCGGAGGCUCCCUCCAUAGGCUUCCGGCCCGAAGCGAAAGUGUUAAGUGCUCCGCCUGGGGGAGUAUGGUCGCAAGGCUG